rnacentral:rRNA from 1 species
CAGUAGCCGCGGGAAUACGAGGGGGGCUAGCGUUGCUCGGAAUGACUGGGCGUAAAGGGCGCGUAGGCGGAUUGUUUAGUUAGGCGUGAAAUUCCUGGGCUUAACCUGGGGACUGCGCUUAAUACAGGCAGUCUAGAGUGAGGAAGAGGGUUGUGGAAUUCCCAGUGUAGAGGUGAAAUUCGUAGAUAUUGGGAAGAACACCGGUGGCGAAGGCGGCAACCUGGUCCUUGACUGACGCUGAGGCGCGAAAGCGUGGGGAGCAAACAGGAUUAGAUACCCCCGUAGUCCCUGUCUCUUAUAC